rnacentral:rRNA from 1 species
AGGGUGUAAACGCUGCAGACUUGGUGUUGGGACCCUUCGGGGUGUUCAGUGCCGGAGAGAAGUUGUUAAGUCUGCUACUUGGGAGUACGUCCGCAAGGAUGAAACUUAAAGGAAUUGGCGGGGGAGCACCGCAACGGGUGGAGCCUGCGGUUUAAUUGGAUUCAACGCCGGACAUCUCACCGGAUAAGACAGCUGAAUGAUUGUCAAUCUGAAGGUUUUACAUGACUAGCUGAGAGGUGGUGCAUGGCGUCAGUGACU